UACAGAGGGUGCAAGCGUUGUCCGGAAUCACUGGGCGUAAAGGGCUUGUAGGCGGCCAACUAAGUCCGACGUGAAAUCCCCAGGCUUAACCUGGGAACUGCGUCGGAUACUGGAUGGCUUGAAUUCGGGAGAGGGAUGCAGAAUUCCAGGUGUAGCGGUGAAAUGCGUAGAUAUCUGGAGGAAUACCGGUGGCGAAGGCGGCAUCCUGGACCGACAUUGACGCUGAGGAGCGAAAGCUAGGGGAGCAAACGGG
rnacentral:rRNA from 1 species